rnacentral:rRNA from 1 species
UACGUAGGGUGCGAGCGUUGUCCGGAAUUACUGGGCGUAAAGGGUGCGUAGGUGGUCGGGUAAGUCUCAUGUGAAAUCCCGCAGCUUAACUGCGGAACGGCAUGGGAUAUUAUUCGGCUCGAGGAUUGGAGGGGGGACUGGAAUUCCCGGUGUAGCAGUGAAAUGCGUAGAUAUCGGGAGGAACACCAGUGGCGAAGGCGAGUCCCUGGACAAUUCCUGACGCUGAGGCACGAAAGCCAGGGGAGCAAACAGG